UGAUUUAAAUACGUACGUCCUCAGCAGCAUGCUAGCUGCUAGCCGGUUAGUCUCCUCUGCUGUACCUCUGAACCGUGCAUAGGCAUACACUCACUGUAUAGAAAGCGACGGAAUAACCCUCGCUUCAAGGACAAGCUAUGUGCCCGUAGAAAGCAAAAGAUUUCUAGCGAGAAGGCUGGGCUGGCAAAGCAUAUCAUCAGAUCUCUGCGUUUAAAAGAAGAUGAGGUCAAAUGAACGAGCAUAAAUGUGUUUCUUCCCUCCCCCAUGUGAAACCAUGCCUGUCUUCAGCUCUGUUGUUUACAUUCCCUGUGAGUGUGAGCUGUAGGGUAUGGACAGCCCCACCCCCCCCGCUACACUGCUCUAGUACCCAAACGUCAAGACUGUUUCUCUCUAAUGUCAUCCAGCCCCUCCACCCAGCCUCCACCUAUCUUCUCAUCACUGAUAAGGCUGAAAUUCAAUAGUGCUACCCUGUCUGAGAGAAGUAAAUUGAUCUGGCUGCUCACUAGACUGGAUGGAAAAGGGCCCGGGGCAAAAAGUGCACACUACAUCAACAGAUGGAAGAGCCCACUGUGCUGCUAUCACAUGGCAUUCCUCCUCCCUGGGCAUGCUCAGUGGGCCACACCCCACACCCUGCUACCCCCUUCCUCUCAGGGCCUGUUUGACCCAGUCAGUCAGAGGUGGUAGUGCUGCUCUCUUGUUUCUCAUCUGACCUUCAGAGUCAGGCAUGGGGGAUCUCGGAGAAGCAUGCAACAACCCGGUGGCUUCCAUGCAGAGCUAGCAGACUUCACAGUGGUUAGCUAUCACAGGACAUAGCAUUUAACACAAUCUGUCAUCUUCAGCUUACACUGUGAGUUCCUGCCUGGGUGAUUAUAAAUACAGCUAAUACAGAGCUUGUUAAAUAAGUACAUCAUGCUAUUAUCAAAAACAAAAUUAUAAACUAACAGAACUUGUGUAGUGUUUACCCAAAAUUGUGAAUUACAGGAGGUGAAAUCAUUUUAGUCACUAUAUGCAUCACUUGCAUAAAAAGAAAGUUGUGCAACCUGAUAAAAAUAAUAACAUGAAUAAAUUUUCACUUUAACUGAAGUCUCAUGUUUUAUCCUUGAAAACGAGGUGUGCAAUUAGGGGCUGAAGUCAUCCUCUGGGUGUAAAAGGUGUAAAUAAAUGUGGGACAUGGUUUUUAAAGUCACAGCACCCGUGGAUUAUUUGAAGUUGCUCUAGGAUCAUUCAUAUUAUUCACAUUAAACAAAUUAGAUAUACAUAAAUGUAAAGAUGAAAAAAAGCUUAAUGAUAUGUAAAUGCAAACAUAUUAAACCACUGCAGAUACAGAAUAAAUGUUAUGAUACUAUUGGAGUUUAUGAGAGGCGUCAUUUUGCGCCCUACUGAACACACAUCAUCACCAUUAUCUAUGCACACUGGCUGCUGGCAAUGCACAGAACUGAAUCACAGGCUGAAUUCCUCCAUGAGUCACAUGGCUUGUUACAACCAGAAAGACCUUUUUUUCCUCUUACAUCUAAAUCCCUCAGGCUUUUACACAUUCUCUGUCUUGCCACCACAUUCUGCUUGUCUCUGGUUUUUCCAUCUUUGUUUGCUCCCCACUCUGACUAGCACGACUAGCUUCCUGUUUAUGUCAAGCGAGCAUCAAGCCAAUCAGCUGUGAAGGCUGCAAUCCUCCGCGUAGCUAUUUACUACCCUGUGGUCUAUUUAAAAAAAGACUGAAAGCAAGCUAAGCUUUGUGCUAAGCUUGGUGCAGGCUGCUGAGUAAGCAGACACACAAAGCUCCAAUCAGAGUCCACAGCUGACCUAUAUACAUCUCUGGCCUUUUGUUCAUGAAUGUGCUUGUAUCUGUCUGUGUGUUUUUACUCUCUGAAGUGGGCUGCUGCUCAGUUGGUUAAAUAUUUGUUUAUUUGCUCGUUGUGUUUCUCACAGCCCAGCAGGAUCUGCACCCUGGCAUUUUUUUUGUUGCCACUAAGGGUUGGAAUGUGCUGGUUUGCAAGAUUUGAAGAUAACAAAGCAGCAUGAAGCGGCUGUGCGUAAAUUGUGGAUGAGGUCACGAUCCGCCAACACGGCACGCUGCGACAUGCGAGGGGAUUUUGUUCUGGAUUCUCCCUUGGUGGUGUCAUACCUUUGCUCUGUUUUUCUGUUGCCUUGUUGGCUCUGUGCGUAUUUCACGUUGCAAUUGCAGGCUAUCUGAACUGCCAGCCUUAGCUAAGGUCUGUUAUUAUAUGGUUGGAGUAAAGUGCAGACUGCAUUUGGAAACAAGAAUAGACUAUAUAGAGCAUGCAGAGGCCUGUUCAUGAGUCUACCCAGUGCCAGCCUUCUCUUGGAGUACACAGUGCACUAUAAAUCUGUCAGACAGGGGAAAAAAUAUAAUCACAGCUUUGCUGGGGCAUCAGAGUUCACUGCAGAAUUACAUGAGUACUAAUGCCUGCUUCAACACUGACUCUGGCAAACAUGUCUGACAUUCACUGUUUACACCCCUCAGUGAAAGCCGCUAGUCAGACCGUCUGAUAGCUCAGCCUGGAAUUAGAUUCAGGAAGUCAUGAGAUUUCCAGGUGGCUGGCUUUCCUGGAAUUGUUUAGCAUGGAUUUUUCAAAGUGUUGCCAACACACAUUGAACUGAAGACAACCCUCUGUAAAUAAUUACACGAUAUAUUACCUGUGCUUCACACAGGCCAGUGCUGAAAUCUGAGAAACACACACUAUACUGAACACUU